UUUUCUGGUGUGAGGAUGAACUUCAAAUUAAAAAAUUUAAUGGGUUAUUUUUAUUUUUGUUUCUGUUCAAUAAUGAAACCCAACUUUAGUUGGCAGUUUGACCAACAUCAAAUUAUUUUCAGUAUGAUUUCUGUAGACUUAACGGUUUUUGGUGCUAUUAAUUUCCUCAGGAAUGAGGAUAUAGUAAGACUAAAAGGAUUGUUUGGAUGGGGAAAUCACAUGUGCAUCCUAUGCUUAAUGUGG
rnacentral:lncRNA from 1 species